UACGUAGGGUCCGAGCGUUGUCCGGAAUUACUGGGCGUAAAGAGCUCGUAGGCGGUUUGUCGCGUUGUUCGUGAAAACUCACAGCUCAACUGUGGGCGUGCGGGCGAUACGGGCAGACUUGAGUACUGCAGGGGAGACUGGAAUUCCUGGUGUAGCGGUGGAAUGCGCAGAUAUCAGGAGGAACACCGGUGGCGAAGGCGGGUCUCUGGGCCUUACCUGACGCUGAGGAGCGAAAGCGUGGGUAGCGAACAGG
rnacentral:rRNA from 1 species